rnacentral:rRNA from 1 species
CAAAAACAUCGCCUCGUGCUAAAUCUUCGAAGUAUAGGAGGUCCUGCCUGCCCAGUGACUUCAUGUUAAAUGGCCGCGGUAUUUUGACCGUGCUAAGGUAGCGCAAUCACUUGUCUUUUAAAUGAAGACCCGUAUGAAUGGUGAAACGAGGGCUUAACUGUCUCCCUUCUUUGGUCAAUGAAAUUGAUCUGCCCGUGCAGAAGCGGGCAUAUUAAUACAAGACGAGAAGACCCUUUGGAGCUUAAGACAAAAAGCCAACUGUAUAAAAACCUACAUAAAAUGAAGUUUAACAAAACAGCCAUUUGGCCCACGUCUUCGGUUGGGGCGACCACGGAGUAAAACGAAACCUCCAUACAGAAUGGGAUUCCCUCUCAAACCAAGAGAUACAUCUCUAAGUCGCAGAACAUCUGACUAUAAGAUCCGGCUUAUAAAGCCGAUCAACGGACCAAGUUACCCUAGGGAUAACAUCGCAAUCCCCUUCAAAAGUCCC